GAUGAACGCUGGCGGCGUGCCUAAUACAUGCAAGUCGAACGAGUUUUGAUUAUGGAAAGGUGCUGGCAUCUGAUUUAAUUUUGAACGAGUGGCGGACGGGUGAGUAACACGUGGGUAACCUGGCCCUUAAGUGGGGGAUAACAUUUGGAAACAGAUGCUAAUACCGCAUAAAUCCAAGAACCGCAUGGUUCUUGGCUGAAAGAUGGCGCAAGCUAUCGCUUUUGGAUGGACCCGCGGCGUAUUAGCUAGUUGGUGAGGUAACGGCUCACCAAGGCAAUGAUAGUAGCCGAACUGAGAGGUUGAUCGGCCACAUUGGGACUGAGACACGGCCCAAACUCCUCGGGAGGCAGCAGUAGGGAAUCUUCCACAAUGGACGCAAGUUGAUGGAGCAACGCCGGUGAGUGAAGAAGGCUUUUGGGUCGUAAAACUCUGUUGUUGGAGAAGAAUGGUCGGCAUGAGUAUU
rnacentral:rRNA from 2 species